rnacentral:miRNA from 1 species
CGAUAGCUGUCGGUAAUGUAGU